ACAAGCGGUGGAGCAUGUGGUUUAAUUCGACGAUACGCGAAGAACCUUACCUGGCCUUGACAUACUAAAAAGCUUUAAGAGAUUAGAGUGUGCUAGCUUGCUAGAAUUUAGAUACAGGUGCUGCACGGCUGUCGUCAGCUCGCGUCGUGAGAUGUUGGGUUAAGUCCCGCAACGAGCGCAACCCUCGUGUUUAGUUGCUAACAGUUCGGCUGAGAACUCUAAACAGACUGCCUACGCAAGUAGGAGGAAGGUGAGGACGACGUCAAGUCAUCAUGGCCCUUACGGCCAGGGCUACACACGUGCUACAAUGGGGUAUACAAAGAGCAGCGAUACGGUGACGUGGAGCAAAUCUAGAAAAUGCCUCUCAGUUCGGAUUGUAGUCUGCAACUCGACUACAUGAAGUUGGAAUCGCUAGUAAUCGUAGAUCAGCAAUGCUACGGUGAAUACGUUCCCGGGUCUU
rnacentral:rRNA from 1 species